rnacentral:misc_RNA from 1 species
GAUGAAGAACGCAGCAAAAUGCGAUAAGUAAUGUGUAUUGCAGAAUUCAGUGAAUCAUCGAAUCUUUGAACGCACAUUGCGCCCGCUGGUAUUCCGGCGGGCAUGCCUGUUCGAGCGUCAUUUCAACCCUCAAGCCCCCGGGUUUGGUGUUGGGGAUCGGCUCUGCCCUUCUGGGCGGUGCCGCCCCCGAAAUACAUUGGCGGUCUCGCUGCAGCCUCCAUUGCGUAGUAGCUAACACCUCGCAACUGGAACGCGGCGCGGCCAUGCCGUAAAACCCCAACUUCUGAAUGUUGACCUCGGAUCAGGUAGGAAUACCCGCUGAACUUAAGCAUAUCAAUAAGCGGAGGA